UACGUAGGGUCCGAGCGUUGUCCGGAAUUACUGGGCGUAAAGAGCUCGUAGGUGGUUUGUCGCGUUGUUCGUGAAAACUCACAGCUCAACUGUGGGCGUGCGGGCGAUACGGGCAGACUUGAGUACUGCAGGGGAGACUGGAAUUCCUGGUGUAGCGGUGGAAUGCGCAGAUAUCAGGAGGAACACCGGUGGCGAAGGCGGGUCUCUGGGCCGAUACUGACGCUGGAGGUGCGAAAGCGUGGGGAGCAAACAGG
rnacentral:rRNA from 1 species